rnacentral:rRNA from 1 species
GCUUGUCUCAAAGAUUAAGCCAUGCAUGUCUAAGUGUAAAUACGUCUACACUGUGAAACUGCGAAUGGCUCAUUAAAUCAGUUAUAGUUUAUUUGAUGGUCCUUGCUACUUGGAUAACCGUAGUAAUUCUAGAGCUAAUACAUGCAUCAAACCCCGACUUCUGGAAGGGGUGUAUUUAUUAGAUGGAAACCAAUGCGGGGCAACCCGGUAAAUGGUGAUUCAUAAUAACUUUCGGAUCGAUCUUCGGAUCGAUGCAUCAUUCAAGUUUCUGCCCUAUCAGCUUUGGAUGGUAGGGUAUUGGCCUACCAUGGCUUUAACGGGUAACGGAGAAUUAGGGUUCGAUUCCGGAGAGGGAGCCUGAGAAAUGGCUACCACAUCCAAGGAAGGCAGCAGG